UACGUAGGGUGCAAGCGUUGUCCGGAAUUAUUGGGCGUAAAGAGCUCGUAGGCGGUCUGUCACGUCGGCUGUGAAAACCCGAGGCUCAACCUCGGGCCUGCAGUCGAUACGGGCAAACUAGAGUACUGCAGGGGAGACUGGAAUUCCUGGUGUAGCGGUGAAAUGCGCAGAUAUCAGGAGGAACACCGAUGGCGAAGGCAGCUCGCUGGGACGGUACUGACGCUGAGGCGCGAAAGCGUGGGGAGCAAACAGG
rnacentral:rRNA from 1 species